GUCUAUUGUCAUAUUACCCUGAAAGAGUCUGAUCUCGUCUGAUCAGAGAAGCUAAGCAGGAUCAGACUUGGUUAAUACUUGGGUAAGAGACCAGCUGGAGUUAGGCU
rnacentral:rRNA from 1 species